rnacentral:rRNA from 1 species
GACGUAGGAGGCGAGCGUUGUCCGGAUUCAUUGGGCGUAAAGAGCGCGCAGGCGGCUUGGUAAGUCGGAUGUGAAAUCCCGAGGCUCAACCUCGGGUCUGCAUCCGAUACUGCCCGGCUAGAGGUAGGUAGGGGAGAUCGGAAUUCCUGGUGUAGCGGUGAAAUGACGCAGAUAUCAGGAGGAACACCGGUGGCGAAGGCGGGUCUCUGGGCCGAUACUGACGCUGAGGAGCGAAAGCGUGGGGAGCGAACAGG